AAAGCAAGGUCAUCCGGGAGGGACUUUGAGAAGAGGUGCUGCUCCACUACAUUGAGAGAAGCCAGAUGUGAUGGGUCUGGCACCUGGUGGGGUGUUCCAGGCAUGUCCCACCGGGAAGAGAUCCCAGGAACUCCCAGGAGACGCCGGAAAGAAUACAGCAACAGUAAUUCAUACUCAAGGUUGACAGAACUCGAGGACAUCUCACCAAAUACCCUGUUGCUUGGCAGAGCCACACAAAGUGGAGAUUCCGGAAAAUCUAACUACACAAGGGACAGGUGUUAAGGUGGGAAGUCUCAAGAAACCAUGGUGUCAUGAUAACCAUCUGCCCCACUGCUCCCACCGGGCAAUGUGUAGUGGUGGUGUGUUGGUCAAAAGUUGUAUGACACACUGAUAAAUGCAUCAGGAACGUAUGCAUUGGUAUCACUGGUCUUACAUGUGACUGUGUUUCCAUCCACAGCAGAGGAUGUACAAUUGGUCACAUCCAUCUUUUGACCUCCCCUCAGUUUCUCCCUAAGGCAAAGGUUCUCUUAGAAAGAUGGAGAUCCAACAUACAUUGAUGCAAUAGACAUCCCAUGAGGCGUACCAUAUGAAUAUAAAUUGGUUAACCGGAAUGCUACAGGAUGGGAAUCCCUUUUGUCAUGGAUAACCCCAAAUAAAAACAUUGACAGAAUCAACUACAUACAUUACAAUUUACAGAAACUAGGUAACUAUUUGGAAGCAGGCUUUAUUGCCAUCAGAGAACAACUAGCUGCAACCUCACGAAUGGCGUCCCAGAGCCGCAUAGAGCUCAACUUGCUCCUGACCGAGAAGGGUGGCGUCUGUUCAAUGUUCGUGAUGAGUGUUGUACGUUUAUUCCAAAUAACAUAGCACCUGAUGGGUCACUCACAACGGCCAUUGGGGGCCUCCACACCCUGAACCACAAGAUGAAGGAGCACUCUAGUGUGGACACAUCAGCCUGGUCUGAGUGGUGGGGAAAAAAACAUUUGGUAAAUAUAAAAACUUGGUGCUCUCUGUCUUGCUUUCUAUAGCUGUAUUUGCAGCUAUUUUUACAUUGUGUGGAUGUUGUUGUAUUCCCUGCAUAAGGGCGUCAUUUAGCCGACUUAUAACCACUGCAAUUUCCCCGACAAAUUCAAAAUUGGCAGAAAUAUAUCCACUAUCGGCACAGCAGGGUGAUGACAGUUAUAUUGUUAACCACGAUGAUGACAUUAUGACAUGACAUUCCUGACCUGUUCUCUGAUUCAGAAGAUUACUAGUGAUUAGUGCUAUAUUUUCCUUCGAGUGCAACCAUGUUUGUUUUCAUAAAUAUGAUUCUGAAGAACAGGGGUGCCCAGACUUUUUUACCCCAAGAUCUACUUCUCAAGUAUCCAGCCUCUCACGCUCGAUGGGGGGUGGGGGUGGGGGGAUUUUGAGGGUUUUUUUUUUGUUUUUUUUUUUUAAAUGACCAAUGAUGAAAUAGAAUGACCAAGUUACAAAGAUCUACUCACUACAAAAAUGCAAAACACAUUUAAGUGUUUAUGUGCCUUGCAUAACCGCAUGAGCCAAUAUUACACAACAUAAUUAAGCAUUUUUUUAUGAAUAUCUGAGUUCACGCUAAUAAUCACUAAACACCAUACGAAUGAAAAUGCACACCUGGGCUGUGUCACUCACGUCGGUGGAUUUGUCCAACUGCAGUGAGGAACACAAUCUCCGAUGUCCUUCCACACAUCAGCCAUGGCUUCACAGUGCCGCGUAACUGUACCCCUGUACAGCUGCACAGAUUUUAUUGAAGAUAAUAUUUCCGCCUUAUUUUUAAAAGAUCGGAACAACGAGUCAGCUCUGCCUCUUUAUGUGUGAUGUGAUGAACCCGGAAACGAUGCUUCGAUGACUGCUGUGCAGCCAAUUGGGAUUUUAGUUCGUUCACUUUUCUCAUUCUCAGCUUGCUUUUCGGCCUAAUGUUGGUGUUGUAUUUUUCAUCAAAAGUUCAAAAAUGCCGUUCCAGAUUUCACUACACUGGCAGAUGAGGCAAACGCGCUUCAAAAAUGACGUGAAAGAAUCGUGAAAAAAAGUCCACCUCCCAUUCCUUUUGAAAGUGAUACGUUUUCUCUUCUUUACUCCAGCAUCCAUACUUAUGUUUGUUAAGAUUUCUUAAGCGAGAGCUUAAAAUGGGGGGAGGGGGGAACGACUCGCUGACAGCGUGUUUUCCUGUACUGCCGUUGUUUGCACAAGUGCGGUGAGCUUAAGUUAAAAAAAUAUGGCUGAUGUCUUUUCUUUUUUUUUCUCGGUCCGCUAUCACGAUCAACGCAUUGAGCACCCCUGCUGUAGAAUAAAUCUGAAAGGGUGAUCUAUUAGAUUAUGUGAGGAUUUGAGCAAAUUGUCAAUAUAAUUAGGAAACUUCUACUGCUUGCAGUGAAGAAUGCUCUGCUCCGCUCCAAUUAAGAAACUGUUUCUGCCUGCAAUGAAGAAUGCUUUGCUCUGCUCCAAAUGAGAAACUGUUUCUGCCUGCAAUGAAGAAUGCUUUGGUCAGCUCCAAGUAGGAAACUGUCUCUGCCUGCGAUGCAGAAUGCUUUGCUCUGCUCUGGAUAACGUGGCAGCAAAUGUAGGAUAAAUGGGGGAAAUAUAAGAAUAAUUGUGAAUAUAAUUACCAUACAUCUGCUUCCAAUAAAGAAAUACUUUGCUCUGCUCUAGAUAUCGUGGCAGCCGCUUAGCAGAAGAUAGCAUAAGAACAUCUAAUCAUCAGAAGUGUUAGAACCAGGAGCACCUGUUGUCUGUUAAAGAAAUGAUUACCACACAUGUACUCAGCAAUCUCCCACAAAGAACUUGAGCCAAUUCUUCCACCCACAUGCUUCGUGGGAGCUGCCUCAUGGGAGAUUGAGCAAGUUGUCAAGGAGGCCCAAAACACCCAACCUGACCCCAAGACUGAGCCCACUGACUUCCUGUUUGUCCUGGAUUUGGCACGUUUCAAAGUCCUGCAAAGGGCCUAUAGCUCGAAGCUAACUUGUGACAUCAUCAUCCAUCCACCCCAAUUCCUCCAGCAACACUUCUGGUGGCCCAGCCUCAUUCAAGACACCCGAGAGUUUGUUCAAGCCUGCACUGUCUGUGCCCAUGGCAAGCCCUCGCACCAGGCCUAAGCCGUUCUGCUCCACCCUUUGUCAAUUCCAAGUCGCCCAAUGUCUCACAUCGCCGUAUACUUUGUCCCCAGCUUCCUCCCUCUGAAGGUAACACUGUCAUCCUCACAGUAGUUGAUCACUUUUCUAAAUGUGUCCACUACGUGUCCCUUGCGAAGUUCCCAUCUGGCCUGCCAACCGCUAACCUCCUUGUGUCUCCUUUCAUGGUUUGCUAUGGUUACCAGCCCCCAUUCUUUAGGUGACUGGAACAGGCAGCGGUGUUUCCCACUGUCAAGAAUCAUCUCCAGAGGGUACAACCUGUAUGGAAAGACGUCCAAGCGGCGUUGAACCGGUCGAGCGGACGCAAUAAAAGACCCAAAGACCGUCAUCGUUCCCAGGCAUCUGACUACAAAGUAGACCAGUCUGUCUGGUUCUCUUCUCAUGACCUCCCACUCCAAACCGAAUACUAUAUGCUCACCCUCCGGUUCAUUGGCACAAUCCUGACUACCAAGGUCAGUUGAAGCUUCCUCCAUCCCAACCAACCUCUCCACAAUAAGAAAGCAUUGACUGCAAUCCAGCUACAUUGAGUCCUUCCUUGUUUCAACUGUGGAAAAAUUAGACAGACACUAAAAUAUAAUAGCUAUAAAAUAUGGCGAUCGCACAGACAUAACACACUCUUGAUUUAAAUUCAACGCAGAAACCAUAUUAAGCCUAAUUUUUCACCAACUAUCAGUUCUCUAAAGUGAAGUUAACAUACCUUAAAUGUGAACCUCUUUCUCAUUAUUUUAAUCCAAACAAUAUCCGUGAAUUGGAUCUCUCUCCAUGAUACUUGCUUAAAGAGGUGGCAUCUGCACUCCGCCUCAUAGUAUAAUUGUGAGUUGUCAUGUUUACACUUACUACACAAAGAGUAAUGUUUCUUACAUAAGGCACACUGUCUUGAAAAUUCUAAUUUUCAAAUUUAAAUAGGCAAGACUUGCCAGGUUUUAUGAUUCAUUUCUAAAGAGAGGCAGGUUCUCAAUCCUAUAAUUGCGAACCUCAGUCUGACUCAAGUCAAGCAUUGUGACCUCUACCUAUGAUAAAAAAAAAUUCUUGGACUUGAGGAUGAAGCUGUUGGUUACCUUCUGUGGACUGGACCUCUGAAGGAAGAAUCAAACUUGUGUGGCUCACCUGAGGAAGUUAAAAAGGUAAAACAUUUAUAACUGUCAUCCAAAAUCAUCCCAGGAGUAAGACAGCAGAAAGUCUCCUUGUAAUACAAUAUGUAACUUCAGGGUUGACCACAAUAAAUGCUUCAAAGUCAGGUAAAAAAAGACAAUAGUCCCCUCAUAACUCUAGAUGAGUUAUAACAUUGAAGACUUUGGGAUACUAAUAUUUUUUCGACAACAGAGCCGUGCUCCUGGUUUUUCAUGCCAAAUAAGUGGUUUUCAAUGAAAUGGGGUACACCCUGGACUGGUUGGCAGUCAUCCAGAGUUGACAUUUAGAUACACAAUGGUGCACAUUCAAGCCAAUAGGUAGUUUAGAGUUUUUAAUUCAUAUCCAUAUUUUCAGAAUGGAGGAUGAAACUGCUGUAUGUCUGAAAAAAACCCUUGCAAGCACAGUUAGAAUACAUAAACUUCACACCCACGUUCCAACAGAUUUGAACUUGGAUCUCCUUCAAACCACAAUAUCGUUGUGCUCACAAUAUCGUUGUGCUCUCAGUAUGAAUAGUAAGUAAAGUUGUUUUAUAGUAUCCUGUAGUUUUUGGUUGUAACAAAGCUUCUUCGCUUCGAGGUAGCAGAGCUGAGUAUAUGGGUUAUGGGCAUUAAAAUUGUCAAAGCUCUAUUAAUGCCAACCUUCUUAUUUUGCUGUUGCAUUAACACUUGUUUAGUGGAUUGGAUGAUCAAACUUUGAAUCAACUAGAAAUAUUGCCAAUUAAAGAAUUUAUUAAGUUAACAAUUAGUAUCUUCAGUAUUGUUUGGAACAAACAUACACACCCAUAAAAGCCUGGCACCUUCUCAUGGUGGUGAUACACUACUGUGAAAAGGCAUCUCAUUUUUAAUCCAGCAUUUGCCACAGGUCAGCCAAAAUUGUUGUGCGUCAUGUACAAGUUGAUCCUACAAGUGUUGUGAAUGGGGUCGAGCUCAAGACAUAUCAUCAGAUCCAUUCUCUAAUCGCAAGGACAGCGUUCAAUCCCAUAUUGUGGAGAUAUGUGAUAGCCAGUGGUUGGAAAACUUAACCUCAAUAUCGCUGUAAUGAUUCUGUAUUAUCUCCAGGAACAAUAAGUAUCGUUUUCGUUUUUACAAUGAGGGAAAUUACUCUACACAUCAUUACGAUGGCUCCACCAAAAGAUGUUACGCUAUCAAUUCAGCAAGCAGCAUACAAAUCUGUGUUUUCCCCACACUUGACACUAAAAUCCAACUGCUGUAGGCUGGAUCUGGACUCAUUACUAAAGAGACUGCAAUAGUCCUCCAAGUUCACCUUUCAAAGCAAGUGUUGCCAAAACCAGCAAACCUAAAAAAAAAAAUGAAAAAAGUCAAUGUCAAGGACAAAAAAAAUGCUUUGCAAUGGCAGAAGAUUUGCCAAUAUUUUUCAAGGAUACAGCCUACUGUAUCUAUACUGUUACUAUUAGCAACCCACAAUGUGCACUGGAGUGCACUGUGCGUGUUGCUGAGAUGGUGAAUGAGAGUGUAGGCUUCCAUCCAUGACCUGUACACCUUAAAAGGCCCAGCAGAAUGCAGGUCAGAUUACAUUUUACCCUACAAACCCUGGUGACAACCUGUUUGACACUCUCCUCAGGCACCCUGGUGAAAACCUGUUUGACACUCUCCUCUCAGGCACAAGGUCAUUGUUCAUUUGAUCUCAAGCCUCCCAUCACAUGAACAUCUUAAUUCUCUCAGCCAUCAGACUCAUGAAGAAGACGCUAUCACAGAUUAAAACUUCACAGCCACACCCGAUGCGUAUUCAGCACAAUUUAUGCUUUUUACACAUUAUAUAUUUUCCUUUUUCUUAGUCUGUUCAUACUUGAUUUUUUUGUCAUUUUUAAGUGCUU